rnacentral:lncRNA from 1 species
CUACUAUGCAGUCUUUUUUGUGCCCUUAUAUAUGAGCAUUGCAACAACUGGGCUGAUGCAAUAGGCUGUUUCUAGUCCUGCAUUGUCUCCUAAAAGGAGCCAGAGUCAGCCUGUUGUCAAUUUUACUUCCAUUUGAAGUAAAGCAGUUUCUGAAGGGGAGGGAUGAUGUAAUAAUAUCGCCCACAGACCAUAAAAACAGGUGAUGGAAUGACUUCCAUAAAUUAAGAUCAUCAGCCAACAAAGUUCUAUUAAGAUAAUUUAGUCAAAACUAAAGCCAUUUACACCACUUGCACCACUGACAAAAUCGCGAGUUGAUAGGAGGCAACACCAUCAACACACUUUAUAUCUUGAUAGCAGCUAGCUUUAUUAUCCUAGCUCUGAAGUUGCAAUUUUGUAUCCAACAACCACCAACUAUUUUGAGGUCAAGCAAUAAUUUUUGAGUCUUGACAGGAUUCAAUCGUCAGGCUCUUGUACAUUCGUUGAGCAAACAAAGAGAUAGGGUUGUUCAUUCAUCUUUAUAUUGGCCUAUCACCUCUUGUAUUGUUUAUAAAGAAGAAAGGUGAUAAGGGAGCCAGGAGGAGGCGAAAAAAUCUCUCUUUUGCUUUAAUUUGUACACGCUGCAUGGGCUUUCCAAGUCAGUAUUACAACGAAAUGGGGGGUGACAGGAAGCUUUUGGAAAGAAGAA